rnacentral:rRNA from 1 species
UACAGAGGUCCCAAGCGUUGUUCGGAUUCACUGGGCGUAAAGGGUGCGUAGGUGGUGGGGUAAGUCGGAUGUGAAAGCUCGGAGCUCAACUCCGAAAUGGCAUUGGAAACUACCCUGCUUGAGGGUCGGAGAGGGUAGUGGAAUUCCCAGUGUAGCGGUGAAAUGCGUAGAUAUUGGGAGGAACACCGGUGGCGAAGGCGGCUACCUGGACCGGUUCUGACGCUGAUGCGCGAAAGCGUGGGGAGCAAACAGG